AUACUUACCUGGCAGGGGAGACACUAUGAUCACUAAGGCGGUUUUCCCAGGGCGAGGCUCACCCAUUGCCCUCCGGGGGCGCUGUCCCCUGCGCUUUCCCCAGAUGCGGGGAACUGGACUGCAUCAUUCGUGGUCGUGGGGCACUGCAUUCGCGCUCUCCCCUG